CGGAGGGUGCAAGCGUUAUCCGGAUUCACUGGGUUUAAAGGGUGCGUAGGCGGGUUGGUAAGUCCGUGGUGAAAUCCCCAAGCUUAACUUGGGAACUGCCGUGGAUACUAUCAACCUUGAAUGUCGUGGAGGUAAGCGGAAUAUGUCAUGUAGCGGUGAAAUGCUUAGAUAUGACAUAGAACACCAAUUGCGUAGGCAGCUUACUACACGAUAAUUGACGCUGAGGCACGAAAGCGUGGGGAGCAAACAGGAUUAGAUACCCUGGUAGUCCACGCCCUAAACGAUGGAUACUCGACAUCAGCGAUACACUGUUGGUGUCUGAGCGAAAGCAUUAAGUAUCCCACCUGGGAAGUACGAUCGCAAGAUUG
rnacentral:rRNA from 1 species